GGGGAAUAUUGCACAAUGGGGGAAACCCUGAUGCAGCCAUGCCGCGUGUGUGAAGAAGGCCUUCGGGUUGUAAAGCACUUUCAGCAGGGAGGAAGGUCGGUUACCUAAUACGUAACCGAAUUGACGUUACCUGCAGAAGAAGCACCGGCUAACUCCGUGCCAGCAGCCGCGGUAAUACGGAGGGUGCGAGCGUUAAUCGGAAUUACUGGGCGUAAAGCGUGCGCAGGCGGUUUGUUAAGCGAGAUGUGAAAGCCCCGGGCUCAACCUGGGAAUCGCAUUUCGAACUGGCAAGCUAGAGUCUCGUAGAGGGGGGUAGAAUUCCAGGUGUAGCGGUGAAAUGCGUAGAGAUCUGGAGGAAUACCGGUGGCGAAGGCGGCCCCCUGGACGAAGACUGACGCUCAGGCACGAAAGCGUGGGGAGCAAAC
rnacentral:rRNA from 1 species